rnacentral:rRNA from 1 species
AGCGAACGUUAGCGGCGGGCCUAACACAUGCAAGUCGAACGAGAAAAUCCCUUCGGGGGUGAGUACAGUGGCGCACGGGUGAGGAACGCGUAGGUAAUCUACCCUCUGGCGGGGGACAACACUCCGAAAGGAAUGCUAAUACCGCGUAAGACCACACCUACUACGGUAGGAGGGGUUAAAGGUGCCUCAAAGCACCACCAGAGGAUGAGCCUGCGUCCCAUCAGCUUGUUGGUAAGGUAACGGCUUACCAAGGCGAAGACGGGUAGCUGGUCUGAGAGGAUGAUCAGCCACACUGGUACUGGAACACGGACCAGACUCCUACGGGAGGCAGCAGUGAGGAAUAUUGGGCAAUGGGCGAAAGCCUGACCCAGCCACGCCGCGUGUGUGAUGAAGGCCUUCGGGUCGUAAAGCACAGUGGGGAGAGACGAAACAGCGCAUCAGGAAAUGGUUGCGCCUUGACGGUACCUCCUUAGCAAGCACCGGCUAACUCUGUG